UACGAAGGGGGCUAGCGCUGUUCGGAAUUACUGGGCGUAAAGCGCACGUAGGCGGAUAUUUAAGUCAGGGGUGAAAUCCCAGAGCUCAACUCUGGAACUGCCUUUGAUACUGGGUAUCUUGAGUAUGGAAGAGGUAAGUGGAAUUGCGAGUGUAGAGGUGAAAUUCGUAGAUAUUCGCAGGAACACCAGUGGCGAAGGCGGCUUACUGGUCCAUAACUGACGCUGAGGUGCGAAAGCGUGGGGAGCAAACAGG
rnacentral:rRNA from 1 species